ACCAAGGGAUCUCUUAAAAAAAGAAGAUGGAGGGACUCAAACAAAGCAGCAUAAUAAGUUGCAAAAUGUUUGAGCUACGUGCCAGCAGUCAUGCAACUCUGGAGUCAGGUUUGCCUUCACAGUGUUCACCAUCUGUGUGCCCUUGCACUUGCACCAACGAUGCACUGUGCCAACUCAUCAGAGGGGACUGUCAAGCCUGGCUGACGUCACCCAUCAAGCUGGUGUAAUCGAAAGAGACGCUAAUCCAAAGCCUGAUUGUGGGUCGGGCUGGGAGAGGGAGGAUGAUGAGACUGACACAAGGAGGGAAGUUCGAAGGGAGCACAUGUUGGUGAAGUUGGAUUGAAGCCGCACAAGUGAGGCAGGUGCUGUCCUAACCGGAGGAAGGUCAUCACGCACAUAGCCCCCCUGCAUCCUCAUCUCCUGAGAAUCUCCGAGAGUGUGGAAAGCCCGCAUCCAGGCCUCGUCCUGGACACCAACAACCUCGCUGAGAGCUCCGCAGAGGGGGAAUGCUGCGGGAGCUGCUCAGCUCCUUCUGGACCCCCCAUUAUGCAAAGUGUGCCCACUGUGGAAGAGCCAGUCUUCACCACGGUGGAUCUGUGCCAAGAUGGAGAAGAAGAAGACAGCUAUCUGACAGCAAAUGAAGGAGGGAUGGAGGAGCUAAGCGGUCAGGAUUCAAAUUCUGAAGAUCUGCGACGGAAGGAAAAACGAUUACCUUUCCAGAUCUUCCCUGAUCCAGUCGAGGUAGUUCUUGUCCCCGAGACGUCUUUGAACAGCUUGGCUCAGAACCACCAGAGGGAGCGUCUACCCUCCAUCGUUGUGGAGCCCACUGAGUUGAGCGAGGUGGAGAGCGGAGAACUACGCUGGCCCCCAGAAAACAUCGACAUGGGCGAGGAUGAAGAGGACCUCUUCUUGGAGCAAUGCAUCCCCCCAGCCAACAUUGCUGACUGGGAAGAGGAGGAUGAGGAGGAGAGAGCAUCAGUUUUUCUGAACCAGCAGCAAGGAUUGACACUCAUUGGAGAUUGAGGCGGGCCAGCCUCAGCUUUCGACUGUGUGUGCGGUGGAAAGUACACGGCUCACCGCCAUCACCAUGUGACCUACAGUCAGAUGCGUUUCGAGAUGACACCCCCACACUCCCACCAAGCUGUGCUCCGGCCCUCAACCGAAACCUCUGAGGACCCCGUGAGGAAACAAUAACAAGUUGACACUGACAAUGAAAGAUUAUGCGUGUGAGCUGAAAGACUAAACGGCAUUGCUGAAAAAGGAAAAUAUGCUCAAGUGCUGAUAAGCAGCCAGUGAAGCUUACAGAGAAGCCAUAAAUGGGCAUGUCUGUACACUUGGCAACAUGCUGAUGAAGAUAAUCACACAAACAGAAAUGGUAAAAUGCAAAUAUUCACAGAACAUUACCCUUUUUGUGUCUUUUUUCAACUUUUAGUCUUUGCUUCAUGUGUGAUUUCACUAACUCACACUUUUGAAGGCCAGUGAGUCAUAGUGCUAUAAGAGGACAUGCUGGUGUUGCAUAUUAUUUUGUUCCUUUUACUCUGUUCCCCAAAGAUCCCUAAACCUAUUGAACUCUAUCAUCAACCCUUUUCUAACCCAAUGGGGACUUCUGUGGAUAUUUAGAAGAUAAAUCUCUAUCACUCAUGAAACAGUCAUAUCAUACAGUGUAUAUGAGGUCAAAGGUUGUAACGUUAAAGCAUUUUAAGAACUGUCCUUUCAUUUUGAGUUAAAAAAGGCAGCUCGUGUUUAUAGAUCAAUUCAGAUAAAACUGAGAACUACAGUUGUGCAUUGCUAUGGAGAUUCAUUUGAGUUUGUGUCUAGGCUGACCUGUGAAUAUAAUGUACAUAUGAUUAUGUCACUGUAUAAAUCCUUGCAAUAAACCUGUCAAUUAAGA